rnacentral:lncRNA from 1 species
GUUUAAGGCUUUUGCUCUGUUGGUGAAGCACACUAGUUUAUCUGUUGCAACAUUUCCUUAGACUAAGGUUAUUUUUCAGAACUGUGGUCAACUUGAAUGCAAUAAAAAUGAUCAGAAGUCUCAAAAGCACAGUCUGUGAUGAAAGACUGAGAGAACUGGGUUUGUUCAGCUUGAAGAGACUGAAGGGAGGUACGAUAACAGCCUUCAAAUACAUGAAAGGUCACUGCAAAUAGGAAGGGGUGAAGCCUUUGCUUGUAUCAUACUUCUUGGCUUUUGAACCCAGCCCAGCAAGAUUACCAGAUCUAAGGUUUGUGUAAUAACAGUACAAGUCAUAAAGCUGUGAAGUCUUUGGUACUGUUGUCAGUCCCUAAGCCUGCAGAGAAGUUGUUUUUUUGCUGGCUGAAACUGAAAUCUCAUCUGCAAGUCAUUGCUUCUGAGUGGCUGCAGGAACUGGUAGGUGCUACCUGCUUCAUCAAGAAAGAGAUUCCAGCACAAAUGAAGGAAGUCUUUCUUCUUUGUCAGUCUCCAUAAUUGAAACUGAAGCUGCUACAAAUUACAUCUUUCCUCUGGUGGGAGACACUCAUGUGGGAACACAUCAGGUGUACAGUGUUGGUCUGAGCUGCAGAGCGCAAAAAAAGAGGAAAGAUGCAGACAUCCAUCUGUAUUCCUAUUUGAGAAAACAGUCUGAAAUGUAAAGAAGAUUCUUCAUCUUGUAAGCUCACCUUGUUCAUUUCUCCUUUCUUUUUCCUUCAUUCUGAUCCUACUGUUCAAAGGCUUUAUUUCAGAUACAAGGUGGCAGAAAAGGCAAGUGGCUAUUAAUUGUUGGGUUGGUUUUCCAUAUGACCACAGCUGGGUCUGUAGGUUGGUAGGGUGACUCUCCCAGGGUUUUAAGCAAUACUCUCCUGUGUUUAUUUCUGGGAUCCCUUUUUCAUUUGUCCACUUCAAAUAUCUGGUAAAUGGAAGAAAAAAGAAAAGAGGAAAUUAGCACUUCUCAGCAAAUGAAUUACUUGUGGUUUGUUGUUUUGAAAAUGAAAGCAUUUAUAUUCAGACUUAAAACACCACAUUCACUUCUUGAUCAAAUCUAAAUGGCCAUGUGAUUGCAUGCUGUCUCUUCCUUUGUGAACAUCUUGCCUAUUUAGACAAUAUGUAGAUGGUUUAUGUCAUAUUAGACUAUGGCAAACCUGAUAUUACUUCCUUUGUGUAGAGGAAUAAGAGAAUUUUUCACCUGCUAAGACUUCUAGGCAGUAAUUCUUGAGUAAGAUAAACAUCUUGUCUGCU